GCAGAGGCAAAGCGUGGGUGUGAGCUGCAGGGGCAGGCUGCUUUUCCUCAAAAUGAGAAAACGGCAGCACAGGGAAACAAUUUGCUCCACUGGGAAGAGGGGAAAAGGUCACAGAAAGGCAAGUUGACCAGAAGACCCCUCACAGCGUCCCCUUAUCACCACCUCCUCUGUCUCUAGGGAAGGCGUGGGGGCUGGUGGUGCAUUGGCUAGGUACAGGGGCAAUGGCCACAGCUGGGACCACUGUGGAAGCCCCCAUACUGAAGACCCACUGCCUGAUCUCAUCAUUUUACAUCACUCUGUGACCUAUGACUUUGACCCUCUCUCCUAACUGGCCUGGCCUGGUGGGAGCAGUAGCCACUUAUUUAGGUCUAAGGACUCCAGGCUCUAGGGCUUUGCAGAUGCAGGCAGAUUUGGGGCCUGAGCAGAGGCAGGAAUGAACUUGGAACACAACCCUCAGAAGUUCUGAGGUAGUCCUGGCCAUGGGGUCCAUGCAAGGACUACAUCCCACAGCUUUCUGCUUUCCACUCUGCCAUCAGUGCCCACACAUGGUUCAGGAGGUGGAGAUCAUGAGAUGGCACCUGGGUCCACGCACUCGGCUCUAGUUCUGCUCAAGGCUUGUGGUAUUGCUCAUGGAAACAGAGGAUGCUGGAAGCAAAGGGCUGGUUUUGCCGCAGAACCACAGCAUCUGUGGGCGAGUAUGGGGGUUCAGGCCAUGUCCAACCAGCUGGCCCCUGCAGCAGGACCUCCACAGCCUCCAGCCUCUGGGGACUUUAGGACCUAAUGGAGACUUUUAUUGGCACAGCUCUAAGUUGUUCAGCUCAGUCUCUUUCAGCAAUUCCCGAAUUGCAGCCUGUGUGUAAUGAAAACCACCAGCAAAAUUAAAAGCAAUGUGUCCUCUACUCAUAAUUAUUUUUUAAAAUAAAAUUUCAGAAACUAAUUAUCGAAAUUUUAUAAGCUGCAUCUGCCUCAAAUUCCAGUUAAGCCUAGUAGCCCUGCUCUGUUUUAUACAUCAACACCCAAAUUAUUUGUUGCUAUUUAAAACGUAACUUUCUACAUAUUUUUAAGGUUUUACUUGUAAUUUUUAUUACACUCAUACAUGUAAAAUUCUUAAACGGCUAAGAACAGGUACUACACUUGAUCUUAGCCAAAAGGGCAAGAAUCACUGCAUGCAAAGCUUUUAAGAGCCCAGCAUUACUGCCUGGUUUGUGGUGAAAGCAGCUUCUUUAUUCCACCCUCAGUCCCUGCGGCUGUCACUGUGUCUCUUGGUGUUUCCCUCCUGUGAGUGAACAACAUGCUUGUGUUUCAUGUUGUUUAUUUUGGGGCUCAUCUAUUGAUUUCCUUCAAUGAUGGAGGAGGACUUAACCUUUCUGCUAAGCACAUGCAUGCACCCACACUCUCUGCACCCUCUUCUCCUCCAGUGUGAUAGCCACACUCUGUGAUGACCUCCGUAUUCCAGGUUGCCAUCCUGUGAUCACGCAGAGCUUAUUCUCAGCUGAGCUGUGUAAUUGUAAAAUGAUUAAAUUUUCCUUCAUGCACUCCCUGUUUCCUCUGGGGUUGGGAGCUGUUGCAUUUUAGUUGUUAUUUCCUUAGACUUCUAGGAAGGGACCACUGUUCUAGCCGCGCACUUCCUAACAGAAAUAAGAAAGACCCUUGCAUGAUCAGGCACAUCGACGGUCCAGCCAUGGCGUCCCUGAGGCCCCCACUGCCUCAGCUCCCAAGGCUCUGGCCACAUCUCCCUGUGUCUCCCUGCUCCUCACCUUCAGGACUCCCUGAGAGACCCUGUGUGGGAGGAAUACUUUGAGACCUGCAAUGUCUAGAGACGUUGCCAUUCUCUCCUUGACCUUUUCUUUCUGGGACCAGGAUUCUAGUCUGCAAGUAACAUCUCUCAGAACUGAGGAGGCCUCGCUUCCCGCCCUGCAGACUCCGGUGUUCAGUAUGGAGGUCUCAGCCAUUCCAGUUCUGUCACGAGAGUGCUGGGGCCUGUUGCUCUGGCCCCUGGGCUGCUGGUGAACUCUGCUUGCAGUGUCUGGGCAAUGAGGAUGUGGAUGACACAGGUGUUUUUACUCUGUUCUUUCAUGCAUGUGCUGCUCUCUCAAUCUGGGCUCCUGCCUGCAGUUCUGGACCACUUGUUUAUUUCUUUGCUGAUCUCUCCUGUCUGACCUCUCUGGUCUCUCUUCUCAUUAAGUGGGUAUUGGAGUUUCUGGGUUCUCUAUUUCUUUUGUCAUUCCUCCCUAAUUCUUCAUCUGUGCAUCUUUUUAUUCUGUUUCUGGGAGAUGUAAAUGAGUCUAAUAUUCAACAUUUCUAUUAAAUUAUUUAUGUGUAUUGUA
rnacentral:lncRNA from 1 species